rnacentral:rRNA from 1 species
GAUGAACGCUGGCGGCGUGCCUAAUACAUGCAAGUCGAGCGAACAGACGAGGAGCUUGCUCCUCUGACGUUAGCGGCGGACGGGUGAGUAACACGUGGAUAACCUACCUAUAAGACUGGGAUAACUUCGGGAAACCGGAGCUAAUACCGGAUAAUACAUUGAACCGCAUGGUUCAAUAGUGAAAGACGGUUUUGCUGUCACUUAUAGAUGGAUCCGCGCCGCAUUAGCUAGUUGGUAAGGUAACGGCUUACCAAGGCAACGAUGCGUAGCCGACCUGAGAGGGUGAUCGGCCACACUGGAGCUGAGACACGGUCCAGACUCCUACGGGAGGCAGCAGUAGGGAAUCUUCCGCAAUGGGCGAAAGCCUGACGGAGCAACGCCGCGUGAGUGAUGAAGGUCUUCGGAUCGUAAAACUCUGUUAUUAGGGAAGAACAAAUGUGUAAGUAACUAUGCACGUCUUGACGGUACCUAAUCAGAAAGCCACGGCUAACUACGUG